rnacentral:lncRNA from 1 species
UUCCUGGAUUGCUCUGGCCCAAUCAUGUUUGCCAUUCCCUCCUUACUUCAUCCUUCCUACCUGGCUGAGCCACGGCCCUUGCCCCAGCCUGUCUCCUUUCCCUGCCCCUCCUGGCUAGAGUCUACGGUAGCUUCUGAGCCCCCAGGCUGAUUCUGACAGUGCCUUACCCCUCAAGAAGUCUUGGGCUCAGUUCUCCUGCUGCAAACUUCAUGUAGAUUCUAUAGUGCAGCCUCUCUCACCUUCCUAUUCCUAGAGCUGGGCUCCUGCCUCAGUUUCCCUGUCUAAGACGCCAAAGAACUAUGGGAUAAUGGGACUCAGGCCUGGUUCACAUUCUGUCCCACCACACACUGUAGUGCAAGCAGCUUAGCCUCUCCAAGCCUCAGUUUCCCCAUCUGUUAAGUGGAGGGAGACCCCACAUCAGCCAAGUGAUCAGGGUUAGCAUCGCCAGUCAUGUGGAUGUCGUGCACCCAAUGACGAGGGCGCCACACCUCUGUGUUCUCUCCCCUAACCGAGGGACGUGCUACAAGAUGCGUGAGCGGUACCCUCGCAAACCAAGGUCAUGAAAAGCUAGGAAAGAAGGAGAAGCUGUCACAGACCUGAGGAGACCAAGGAGACCCAUGGCUAAAUGUGACGUGAGAUCCUGGACCAGAAAAAGGACGUGAGUGGAAAAACGGCCCCCCCUCUGGCCGCAAGGGUCGGGAUACCUGAGCUGCCUGGGCCCUCAGUCUGGCCGCCUCAUCCUGGCCACGUGAUUGGUCCAAGGGAGCCUUGGGAACACACAGCUCCUCACCCACCCACAGGGACUUCAGACGCCCGGAUUCUAGGCUGAGGGAACGUCAGGAAUCCAGGCAGGGAUUCCUGGGAAAGAGGAGCUGUACUGGGGCUAAGAAUGAGGCCACCAGCCUCAAAUACACGGGAAUCCUGCAGCCCCAGGACGGCCCCAUCGGCAGGAAAGCUGGGGUGACUCCCGGUGCUGCCUCUUCUUCUGUGUGAUCUUGGUCAAAUUGCUUAGCCUCUCUGAUCUCAUCAGUAAAAUGGGAAUCAUAACAAUAAGGACCUCUUAGGAUUGUUGUCAUCAUCCACUGAGACUAAUUCAUGGGGAACACUUGGCGU